rnacentral:rRNA from 1 species
GUUAAAAAGCUCGUAGUUGGAUUUCUGCGGGGACGGAGCGGCCGGUCGCAACUUGCGACUCGAGCUAGCGCUUUCCCCGCAUCCUGCCGCGGACCGUGCUACCAUUAGCUUGGUGGCGCUGGGGAUCGGCUCGAUUACUUUGAGAAAAAUAGAGUGUUCAAAGCAGGCCACACGCCUUGAAUAAGUUAGCAUGGAAUAAUAACUAAGGACUUCGGUUCUAUUUUGUUGGUGUUCGGGACUGAAGUAAUGAUUGAUAGGGACAGUUGGGGCGGUCUGUAUUCCAAAGCGAGAGGUGAAAUUCUUAGACCUUCGGAAGACAAACAGCUGCGAAAGCGUUCCGCAAGGAUGUUCCCUUUGAUCAAGAACGAAAGUUGGGGGAUCGAAGACGAUCAGAUACCGUCGUAGUCUCAACUAUAAACUAUACCAGCUAGGGAUCGGCCAACGUUAAAUACUUCGACUUGGUCGGCACCUUAUGAGAAAUCAAAGCAUCUGGGUUCCAGGGGGAGUAUGGUCGCAAGGCUGAAACUUAAAGGAAUUGACGGAAGGGCACCCACCAGCCGUGGAGCCUGUGGCUUAAUUUGACUCAACACGGGAAACUUACCAGGUCCAGACAUAGUAGGAUUGACGAUUGAUAGCUCUUUCUUGAUCCUGUGGGUGGUGGUGC